rnacentral:rRNA from 1 species
CCCUUAGAAGUUCUGGGCCGCACGCGCGCUACACUGACGAAUGCAACGAGCUUAUAACCUUGGCCGAAAGGUCUGGGUAAUCUCCAAAUUUCGUCGUGAUGGGGAUAGAUUAUUGCAAUUAUUAAUCUUCAACGAGGAAUGCCUAGUAAGCGCAAGUCAUCAGCUUGCGUUGAUUACGUCCCUGCCCUUUGUACACACCGCCCGUCGCUCCUACCGAUUGAAUGGUCCGGUGAAGCGUUCGGACCGUGGCCUUUGGACGGUUCGCCGUCUGUUGGCUGCGGGAAGUUCGUUAAACCUUAUCAUUUAGAGGAAGGAGAAGUCGUAACA